rnacentral:lncRNA from 1 species
UGUAGUAUGCAACGUUAUUGAGCUGGUGGAAGGUGAUGAGCUUCUACGGGGCACGCGCUUGUUCCGGUAUCGUUAUCAGUCGGGAGAUGGGGGGGGGGUUAAGGGAAGGAUCCGCUGCUCUAUCCGCUCGUCUAUAUACAUAAAGUUAUUAAAAUUCGCGUGCGAUGAACAAGUCGGUUUAUGAAACAAUAGUGAAAAGAAACAGACAGAACAGAGACAAAACUCCUAGCUUCCAGACCUUUAUUUUGUGGCGCAAGAUGGAAAUGCGGCCACGAAUGCCCUCCCUUCCAUGAUCGCUAUAAUCCGAUAAAGUUAUACGGCGAUCCCAAAAAAAAGGUCUAUGCCGCAAUACCUCUGCCUACGUUCCCUACACGACGCAUGACCCCCUCAAGUUAAGCGCAGUUAGCAGGAGUUCAUAUUAACGCUUAUAGCUAAAUUUAUUCAACAUCGCAAAACACAUCCAAAAGUAUCGAUUUUACACUAGAUUUCGAAACAACUUAUGUCAAUUUACCCAAAUAAAAAAAAGGAAAAUAAUAUAAAGUAGGAAAGAAAAUUAUAAAAAUAUAUCAAAGAAAAAGUAAAUGUAUGUAUGAAUAUAAUAGGUGAAAUGUAACAUUAAAUUAAGAUACGAUUAUUGAAUAUGGAAUAUAAAUGAAUGGGACUAAAUAUAAUAAUGAAAAGCAUAUGUUCAAAAAAAAGAAAAGAAGGAAAACAAAAAAAAUAAUUUUUUUUUGUUGGCUAGUGUACUUUUCGUUUUAGUUUCUCCAUGUACGCAACUGCAUGGAAUGCAUGGCGUGCACAAAUUACAAUAGCAGCAAAAGCAACAAAGCUCUGGCGCUAGUGCAUAAACUUUUAUGCGCUGGUCGGUUCGUCUAGCGGGAAGAACGCACCAAAAGGGAACAAAAAAAAAAUUUGAUCUUUUAUCACUCACAGUUUGGUAUGCAUGUAUGUAUGCUUACAGUACUCCCUCGCUGAAAGGCCUUUCGCUGGGGUUUUGAAGAAGCUGUGGAAUAUAUUAAUUAUGGUUCCCUGUUGGCUUUGGCCGACUGCACGUUAUAGUUCAAUAUUUUUUUUUUUCUCUUACAAACUUCUUUUUCCUUUCUUUCUUCUUUCACUAAUGUCGCAUAAUUAAGGGGGAAUUAAAGGUCGUUAAAU